rnacentral:rRNA from 1 species
UGUAAGCGUAUACCAAAGUUGUUGCAGUUAAAACGCUCGUAGUCGGAAUUUGGCAGUUCCGGAUGUGUGCACGUCGUGUGCGCACUUCGCGGGGAUUGCUUUUGUGGUCUUGCGGAGGAUGAGGCACUUUUAUUAGUGAACGUCCUCACGCAACCACUUUUUACUGUGAGAAAAUCAGAGUGCUCAAAGCAGGCAUUUGCCGUGAAUGUAUUAGCAUGGAAUAAUAGAAUAGGACUUGGUUCUAUUUUGUUGGUUUGUUGGGACUGAGUAAUGAUUAAGAGGGACAGUUGGGGGCAUUUGUAUUUCGGUGCUAGAGGUGAAAUUCUUAGAUUACCGAAAGACAAACUGCUGCGAAAGCGUCUGCCAAGGAUGUUUUCAUUGA